CAGGAAUACAUCCACGUACUCCCGGAAGGGAACGUCCACUGGAACAGAUUAAAGCAGAGAGUCAGGAAUGCACCUUUCUGCAGGGAAACAGCUGCCAUAGCUGGAAAGUUUGCAAGACAUUUUUUCACAGCUGCAGAUUCCCCUCCAAAUGAGGAUUCUUGUCGAUUUCUGAUGUCUUCAAGCUGAUGAGGAUGCAGCUUCAUUCAAGCUAAAUGCUCAACAUAUUGACAGUUGUGCAGAGCAGAGUGAGUCGAGUGACAACCCACCCGGACCAGUUUCUCCGAGUGGCCCCUCCAUUUGCUGACGAUACUGGAGGCUGAGAUGUUGAAG